rnacentral:rRNA from 1 species
CCUCCCCUACGGGGCGCAGCAGUGGGGAAUAUUGCACAAUGGGGGGAACCCCGAUGCAGCGACGCCGCGUGGGUGAGGAAGUACUUCGGUAUGUAAAGCCCUAUCAGCAGGGAAGAAAAUGACGGUACCUGACUAAGAAGCCCCGGCUAACUACGUGCCAGCAGCCGCGGUAAUACGUAGGAUGCGAGCGUUAUCCGGAUUUAUUGGGUUUAAAGGGUGCGUAGGCGGACUGUUAAGUCAGCGGUAAAAGCCCGGGGCUCAACCCCGGCGAGCCGUUGAAACUGGCUGUCUUGAG